CAGAAUUUACUCAGGAGAUGAUAGAUUAGAUAGAUAGAUAGAUAGAUAGAUAGAUAGAUAGAUAGAUGAGGGAAAAGGACAGAGGAACACAGAGUGCCACGCUUGUUGUCCAUUCUUCCUAUUUAUUUAAAACAUUUACAAGCUUUGUAUUAAAAUGCCAUGUAUGUUGUCGUAUUUUCCAAAGAGAGUAAAGUACGAAUCUUGUUGAGAAGAAGGCCAUCUCAAAUUUACCCUUUAAUGAUUUGAGUUUUAGCUGGCUUUACAGGCAUCUUAUCAAAAGGAAAAGAAAACAGUCCUAAUGCAAGUUCCCAGUCACUUCAUUUCAUCCUCAGAAAGCUACUUGGAAUGUGCAUGUGGUAUAAUUUAUGUAGAGCACGGCUUGAUUGUCUUUUUUUAUUUCUUUGCAUCUAGUGAUGUUAUUGCAUGAGCUUCUUGUAACUAUUGUGAAUCCUCACGAGGCAAUUCGACCUUUCCCUUUUACACUAAAUGUGUGGAUAUAUCUUUUAGAUUUCCACAUGGAAGAGGCACUGGAUUGGCCUGGAGUAUACUUGUUGCCAGGCCAGGUUUCUGGGGUGGCUCUAGACCCUAAGAAUAACCUGGUGAUUUUCCACAGAGGUGACCAUGUCUGGGAUGGAAACUCGUUUGACAGCAAGUUUGUUUACCAGCAAAUAGGACUCGGACCAAUUGAAGAAGACACUAUUCUUGUCAUAGAUCCAAAUAAUGCUGCAGUACUCCAGUCCUGUGGAAAAAAUCUGUUUUACUUGCCACAUGGCUUGAGUAUAGAUAAAGAUGGGAAUUAUUGGGUCACAGAUGUGGCUCUCCAUCAGGUGUUCAAACUGGAUCCAAACAAUAAAGAAGGCCCUAUAUUAAUCCUGGGAAGGAGCAU
rnacentral:sRNA from 1 species